rnacentral:rRNA from 1 species
AUUGAACGCUGGCGGCAGGCCUAACACAUGCAAGUCGAGCGGAGCGGCGGACGGGUGAGUAAUGCCUAGGAAUCUGCCUGUUAGUGGGGGAUAACGUCCGGAAACGGGCGCUAAUACCGCAUACUAUCAGAUGAGCCUAUGUCGGAUAAGCUAGUUGGGGGUGUGAAGGCCUACAAAGGCGACGAUCCGUAACUGGUCUGAGAGGAUGAUCAGUCACACGGGAACGGAGACACGGUCCAGACUCCUACGGGAGGCAGCAGUGGGGAAUAUUGGACAAUGGGCGAAAGCCUGAUCCAGCCAUGCCGCGUGUGUGAAGAAGGUCUUCGGAUUGUAAAGCACUUGAAGUUGGGAGGCGUUACCAGCAGAAUAAGCACCGGCUAACUUCGUGCCAGCAGCCGCGGUAAUUC